CCAAUAGCGUAUAUUUAAGUUGUUGCAGUUAAAAAGCUCGUAGUUGGAUUUUGGGUUGGGGCAGCCGGUCCGCCUCACGGUGUGCACCGGCUGACCCAUCCUUCUUGCCGGGGACGCGCUCCUGGCCUUAACUGGUCGGGACGUGGAGUCGGCGAUGUUACUUUGAAAAAAUUAGAGUGUUCAAAGCAGGCCUACGCUCUGAAUACAUUAGCAUGGAAUAACGUGAUAGGACUCUGGUCCUAUUGUGUUGGUCUUCGGGACCGGAGUAAUGAUUAAUAGGGACAGUUGGGGAUAUUCGUAUUUCAUUGUCAGAGGUGAAAUUCUUGGAUUUAUGAAAGACGAACUUCUGCGAAAGCAUUUAUCAAGGAUGUUUUCAUUAAUCAAGAACGAAAGUUGGGGGCUCGAAGACGAUCAGAUACCGUCCUAGUCUCAACCAUAAACGAUGCCGACUAGGGAUUGGCGGAUGUUAAUUUGAUGACUCCGCCAGCACCUUAUGAGAAAUCAAAGUUUUUGGGUUCCGGGGGGAGUAUGGUCGCAAGGCUGAAACUUAAAGGAAUUGACGGAAGGGCACCACCAGGAGUGGAGCCUGCGGCUUAAUUUGACUCAACACGGGGAAACUUACCAGGUCCAGACAUAGUAAGGAUUGACAGAUURRRRGCUCUUUCUUGAUUCUAUGGGUGG
rnacentral:rRNA from 1 species